AGUGAACGCUGGCGGUAGGCCUAACACAUGCAAGUCGAACGGCAGCACAGUAAGAGCUUGCUCUUACGGGUGGCGAGUGGCGGACGGGUGAGGAAUACAUCGGAAUCUACUUUUUCGGGGGGGAUAACGUAGGGAAACUUACGCUAAUACCGCAUACGACCUACGGGUGAAAGCAGGGGAUCUUCGGACCUUGCGCGAUUGAAUGAGCCGAUGUCGGAUUAGCUAGUUGGCGGGGUAAAGGCCCACCAAGGGGACGAUCCGUAGCUGGGCUGAGAGGAUGGUCAGCGACACUGGAACUGAGACACGGCCCAGACACUGACGGGAGGCAGCAGCGGGGAAGAGUGGACAAUGGGGGCAAGCCUGAACCAGCCAUACCGCGUGGGUGAAGAAGGCCUUCGGGUGGUAAAGCCCUUUUGUUGGGAAAGAAAAGUAGCAGGUUAAUACCCCGCUGUUCGGACGGUACCCAAAGAAUAAGCACCGGCUAACUUCGU
rnacentral:rRNA from 1 species